UACAGAGGGGGCAAGCGUUAUUCGGAAUUAUUGGGCGUAAAGGGCGCGUAGGCGGUUCUUCAAGUCUCUCGUGAAAUCCCUCGGCUUAACUGAGGACGUGCGGGAGAUACUGAAGGGCUUGAGUCCGGAAGAGGGUGGUGGAAUUCCCAGUGUAGCGGUGAAAUGCGUAGAUAUUGGGGAGGAACACCGGUGGCGAAGGCGGCCACCUGGGCCGGAACUGACGCUGAGGCGCGAAAGCGUGGGGAGCAAACGGG
rnacentral:rRNA from 1 species